GGGAGCCGAAGGGAAACCGAGUCUUAACUGGGCGUUAAGUUGCAGGGUAUAGACCCGAAACCCGGUGAUCUAGCCAUGGGCAGGUUGAAGGUUGGGUAACACUAACUGGAGGACCGAACCGACUAAUGUUGAAAAAUUAGCGGAUGACUUGUGGCUGGGGGUGAAAGGCCAAUCAAACCGGGAGAUAGCUGGUUCUCCCCGAAAGCUAUUUAGGUAGCGCCUCGUGAAUUCAUCUCCGGGGGUAGAGCACUGUUUCGGCAAGGGGGUCAUCCCGACUUACCAACCCGAUGCAAACUGCGAAUACCGGAGAAUGUUAUCACGGGAGACACACGGCGGGUGCUAACGUCCGUCGUGAAGAGGGAAACAACCCAGACCGCCAGCUAAGGUCCCAAAGUCAUGGUUAAGUGGGAAACGAUGUGGGAAGGCCCAGACAGCCAGGAUGUUGGCUUAGAAGCAGCCAUCAUUUAAAGAAAGCGUAAUAGCUCACUGGUCGAGUCGGCCUGCGCGGAAGAUGUAACGGGGCUAAACCAUGCACCGAAGCUGCGGCAGCGACGCUUAUGCGUUGUUGGGUAGGGGAGCGUUCUG
rnacentral:rRNA from 1 species